AAAAGUAAAAUAUUUUAUUAUUAAGGAAUAUUAAUUUUGAAAAUUAAAGGAGAAAAUUUUUUUUUUACUGUUU
rnacentral:tRNA from 1 species